GGGCGAGUGGUGAAAUUGGCAUACACGUUAGCCUUAGGAGCUAAUGGGGCAACCCGUGAGAGUUCGAGUCUCUCCUCGCCCA
rnacentral:tRNA from 1 species